rnacentral:rRNA from 3 species
AGAGUUUGAUCAUGGCUCAGAUUGAACGCUGGCGGCAGGCCUAACACAUGCAAGUCGAGCGGUAGCACAGAGAGCUUGCUCUCGGGUGACGAGCGGCGGACGGGUGAGUAAUGUCUGGGAAACUGCCUGAUGGAGGGGGAUAACUACUGGAAACGGUAGCUAAUACCGCAUAACGUCGCAAGACCAAAGUGGGGGACCUUCGGGCCUCAUGCCAUCAGAUGUGCCCAGAUGGGAUUAGCUAGUAGGUGGGGUAAUGGCUCACCUAGGCGACGAUCCCUAGCUGGUCUGAGAGGAUGACCAGCCACACUGGAACUGAGACACGGUCCAGACUCCUACGGGAGGCAGCAGUGGGGAAUAUUGCACAAUGGGCGCAAGCCUGAUGCAGCCAUGCCGCGUGUGUGAAGAAGGCCUUCGGGUUGUAAAGCACUUUCAGCGGGGAGGAAGGCGUUAAGGUUAAUAACCUUGGCGAUUGACGUUACCCGCAGAAGAAGCACCGGCUAACUCCGUGCCAGCAGCCGCGGUAAUACGGAGGGUGCAAGCGUUAAUCGGAAUUACUGGGCGUAAAGCGCACGCAGGCGGUCUGUCAAGUCGGAUGUGAAAUCCCCGGGCUCAACCUGGGAACUGCAUUCGAAACUGGCAGGCUAGAGUCUUGUAGAGGGGGGUAGAAUUCCAGGUGUAGCGGUGAAAUGCGUAGAGAUCUGGAGGAAUACCGGUGGCGAAGGCGGCCCCCUGGACAAAGACUGACGCUCAGGUGCGAAAGCGUGGGGAGCAAACAGGAUUAGAUACCCUGGUAGUCCACGCCGUAAACGAUGUCGAUUUGGAGGUUGUGCCCUUGAGGCGUGGCUUCCGGAGCUAACGCGUUAAAUCGACCGCCUGGGGAGUACGGCCGCAAGGUUAAAACUCAAAUGAAUUGACGGGGGCCCGCACAAGCGGUGGAGCAUGUGGUUUAAUUCGAUGCAACGCGAAGAACCUUACCUGGUCUUGACAUCCACAGAACUUUCCAGAGAUGGAUUGGUGCCUUCGGGAACUGUGAGACAGGUGCUGCAUGGCUGUCGUCAGCUCGUGUUGUGAAAUGUUGGGUUAAGUCCCGCAACGAGCGCAACCCUUAUCCUUUGUUGCCAGCGGUCCGGCCGGGAACUCAAAGGAGACUGCCAGUGAUAAACUGGAGGAAGGUGGGGAUGACGUCAAGUCAUCAUGGCCCUUACGACCAGGGCUACACACGUGCUACAAUGGCAUAUACAAAGAGAAGCGACCUCGCGAGAGCAAGCGGACCUCAUAAAGUAUGUCGUAGUCCGGAUUGGAGUCUGCAACUCGACUCCAUGAAGUCGGAAUCGCUAGUAAUCGUAGAUCAGAAUGCUACGGUGAAUACGUUCCCGGGCCUUGUACACACCGCCCGUCACACCAUGGGAGUGGGUUGCAAAAGAAGUAGGUAGCUUAACCUUCGGGAGGGCGCUUACCACUUUGUGAUUCAUGACUGGGGUGAAGUCGUAACAAGGUAACCGUAGGGGAACCUGCGGUUGGAUCACCU